AUGACUUAAAUGCGUAGUUAGAGUUUCAUUGCAUGCUGUACAUUUCAUAAUAUUUAACGAGUACAUUUGUGCAACAUAAGAUGCAGCAUAUGCUGAGACUUUAAACAGGGAAGAAAUAAUGUGUUUUGCUUAGCUUAGUUUGACUUUUUUCUUUACUUGUUUAUCUGUUGUUUGGGGGUAUUUUUGUUUGUUUUGUUGUGUGAUGAUAUUUUUUGGCUCAUGAAAAAAAAAUGUACAAACUUUGAGCUGAAUCCUGCCAAGUGUUGAGUGUCCUCAGCUUGCACCAAAAGAACUAAAAAUGGAGGGUGCUCAGCACCUUGCAGCCUGAGUCCCUAUAUUAACAUAUUUCACAUGAGACAGGCCCAAUUGCAGGGUAAGGAGUGAAACUUCAUAUAAUAAAAACCUAGUGUGAUGAGCGAUUCUUGAGUCUUACUUGGGAUCUGAUCCCGAAACUUUGAAAACAAUAGGCAAACUUCCAUUGAUUUGAGUGGUAUAUGAUCUAUUUUGUUUUCCUGAAAAAUAAGCAAGCCACUCCCAGCAACCUAAAGAAGAGAAGGUUACAUUUAAUUUUUCACUUCUGUAAUUUUUCAUUUCCAAAGAUCAUACUAUAAUUUUUCAUUUCCGAAGACAGGGCAUAUAAGGUGAUCCUGAAAAAGGGGGUUGGGAUUAGUGCCAAAUAGCAGCCAAAAAUAUAAAACUGUACAAAAAGCCUACAGUUUCUAUUUACAUUGUCCAGGGAAGGGCUGGACCAGGAAGUAGAAAGCCCAAGAGCCAGAUGUUGAUUCAAUAUGUUUUGGAAAGGUAGAAAAACAUGACUAGGGCUCCAAACAAUAAUAGAGACUUCCAGUUACAUCUCCCUGUUCCCUCUGUGUGUAUGUGUACUCAUGUGCAUGCACACACACAUGCACGCAUGCACGCACGCACACACGCAACAUUAAUUUUGGGAAGCACUACUAUGAAUAUUUACAAUUUUACCUUCUUCUUUCCCAGGUGCCCUGAUAAAUAGUAAAAUAGUUAAUGUUAUAUUUAAAAUAAAAUAUUACAUCUAUGAAUGAACACUUUAGAGCCCUAUUUUUGGCUCCUUGCAUACACAGGGGAAAUUUAUGGAUCAGUUUCACUUGUCUGACAUUUUGAAGGUUUUCUUCCCAACUAUGUUAGUUAGUGACUGCUUUUCUUCACAAUGAAAGCUGAUUACAAUUACAAUUUAGAAAACUAUCCAUCUUGUUCUCUGGCCAUCCUUUGCACUCUUCUUGGGUGAUACACCUCAUACCAUGUGGGCAGGUAGUUUAAUCUAGUACUGGUAAACACUGGAGACUGGUACAGGUAACAUUAGUGUGAUCCUGUAUGCCAAUUAUUAUUUUCCUAGAUCAGAAGAACUCAUAGUAAAGACAUUAAGUACUGUGGUAACAGCAGCCUAGUUUUACAGCAGUAGCUAACUCUACACAGAUACCUCUGGUAAUCUACUUAAAGGUGGCAUGUGAACUGAAAAGGUAUUUGAAGAGAUAAGCAAUUAAUAUUUCAGAAAACUUCCAUGAUAGUGUUCAAUCUCAGUUAUAGAUAGGCUGAUAUUUGAAAAUAAUCUACUAUUUGUCAUGGACAAUUAGUAAUUGAGGAACGGAUUGUAUUUUUAUAAUCUUCUCUGCUUAAUUUUUCCUCCUUACAUUUUUCUUCCAAUUUUUGGACUAUUCAGGAAAAUAAAAAGGAAGUUAAAAUGCAUGUGGGAUUAGGAAAGAAAAUUAAAAGGAACAUUUUGAACUAGUUUAGUUAGUUCAUUGGUGAAAUGUGCCUCCCAUUGUAUUAUUCAGAUCAAAUUGUUUAUUCAGUAGGAGAAGCUUUGAAUGCUUUACAUCCCAGCACCUUUCCUCUCCUGAAUGAUUUUAUUACAGCCAUCUGCAAACAUUAUGGUUUACUACACUACUACUGUAAAGCUCUUAUGUUAGAACUGGCCUUCAUAUAUAUCAGGAUCUGGACAUAUGGUUGUAUCCCAUAAAGUUGGUAGUCCAUAAGGUCGACAGACAUAUGGUUGAAAGGCUGAAAAUUUGACAAGCUGAAAUGUGUGCAAUCACCUUGAUUUGCAAAAUAAACUGCAUUUGCAAAAGCAAAAACAUGUUCCAGUCUUUAAGAAAGAGAAUCUAAUGCCUAAAAAAAUCAGCCAAUCAAAGGAUACACACUCUUCUUCUUUUUGUCUUUUCUGUUGUUCUUGACUUUUCAACAAUAUGUCUGUCAGUUUUAUAAGAUUCGGCCUUAUAAACCAGAAUGUAUAUAUGCUGUUGUAUUUAAUACAGUAGAACUACAGUAUAAGCUCUAGUAGCAUUUAGAGAGAGGAGAGGAUGCUGAAAAGCACAGGAGCUGAAGCUAAGUGAUCUGUGUUCUGCUCUGCUUUGCUACAGACUUCCUCUGUGAAUUUCAGCAAAUUAUUUAAUCUCUCUCUCAUUUUCCCUUAACUCUGAAAUAGGGAGAAAUGAUACUGGCUUACCUCUCAAGGGUGUUGUGAAUCUUAAUUCAAGCACACUGAAAUCCUCAAAUGGAAGUUGCUAUAUAAAGUGCAAAGUAGUAUUAGGAAUGUGUUUUAUUUUAUGGAACUUCCAAACUUCAUGCUGUAAAGGUAUGUGGGACCUCUGAAGGCCUUGUUUAGACAAGGUUUGACAACUCGUUCAUUGCCUUUGAGAGGCAUAAUGUAUUAGGGCUUUAUUUUAAAGAUCUACCAUAGAUGAAGUUUACAAUCACUGAGUUUAUUUUUAAAAGCUAAUACUUUAUUGGGUUGUUUUUUCCUUUUGUGCCAUUACUAAAUCUUAUAUGAAUUUCAAAUUAAUUUGAUAGCUUUGGAACAAGCUAUAACUACAGAGCUGCUAAUGUAUUUUUAAUAUGUAUGAGAAAUUUCAAUUUGUGUUCAGUGCAAGGAACUUUAAACUGCAAAUAACUUCAACUUCUGGAUCCUUAUUAGAUUGCAAAAAAUUCAAAAUGUUGUAAACAUUUUCACGAAAUAUAUUAAUUACCAUUUUGUUUUCCAUUUGUAAUCAUUUUCCCCUCUUAAUAUUUUGUGUUGACACAUCAGGAAUAUAUAUCAUCCAUUGA